UACGGAGGGUGCAAGCGUUAUCCGGAUUUACUGGGUUUAAAGGGUGCGCAGGCGGAUAUGUAAGUCAGUGGUGAAAUCUCCGGGCUUAACCCGGAAACUGCCGUUGAUACUAAAUAUCUUGAAUGCUGUGGAGGUAAGCAGAAUAUGUCAUGUAGCGGUGAAAUGCUUAGAGAUGACAUAGAAUACCUAUUGCGAAGGCAGCUUACUACGCAGAUAUUGACGCUCAUGCACGAAAGCGUGGGGAGCGAACAGG
rnacentral:rRNA from 1 species